GACGAACGCUGGCGGCGUGCUUAACACAUGCAAGUCGAACGGAAAGGCCCUGCUUUUGUGGGGUGCUCGAGUGGCGAACGGGUGAGUAACACGUGAGUAACCUGCCCUUGACUUGGGGAUAACUUCAGGAAACUGGGGCUACUACCGGAUAGGAGCUCCUGCUGCAUGGUGGUGUUUGGAAAUUUUCGGCGGUUGGGGAUGGACUCGCGGCUUAUCAGCUUGUUGGUGGGGUAGUGGCUUACCAAGGCUUUGACGGGUAGCCGGCAUGAGAGGGUGACCAGGCACAUUGGGACUGAGAGACGGCGCAGAGUCGUACGGGAGGCAGCAGUGGGGAAUAUGGCACAAUGGGCGGAAGCGUGAGGCAGCAACGCCGCGUGCGGGAUGACGGCCUUCGGGGUGUAAACAGCUUUGGCCUGUGACGAAGCGUGAGUGACGGUAAUGGGUAAAGAAGCACCGGCUAACUACGUG
rnacentral:rRNA from 1 species